rnacentral:rRNA from 1 species
UACGUAGGGGGCGAGCGUUGUCCGGAAUGACUGGGCGUAAAGGGCUCGUAGGUGGUUUGUCACGUCGUCUGUGAAAUUCCGGGGCUUAACCUCGGGCGUGCAGGCGAUACGGGCAAUACUUGAGUGCUGUAGGGGAGACUGGAAUUCCUGGUGUAGCGGUGAAAUGCGCAGAUAUCAGGAGGAACACCAAUGGCGAAGGCAGGUCUCUGGGCAGUUACUGACGCCGAGGAGCGAAAGCAUGGGUAGCGAACAGGAUUAGAUACCCCGGUAGU